rnacentral:rRNA from 1 species
CCUACGGGAGGCAGCAGUGGGGAAUAUUGGGCAAUGGGCGCAAGCCUGACCCAGCAACGCCGCGUGAAGGAAGAAGGCUUUCGGGUUGUAAACCUCUUUUAUCAGGGACGAAGCAAGUCACUGUUCCUGAUGAAUAAGCUACGGGUAACUACGUGCCAGCCGCCGCGGUAAUACGUGGGUGGCAAGCGUUUUCCGGAUGUACUGGGUGUAAAGGGCGUGUAGGCGGGAGUGCAAGUCAGAUGUGAAAACUAUGGGCUCAACCCAUAGCCUGCAUUUGAAACUGUACUUCUUGAGUGCUGGAGAGGCGAUCGGAAUUCCGUGUGUAGCGGUGAAAUGCGUAGAUAUACGGAGGAACACCAGUGGCGAAGGCGGAUUGCUGGACAGUAACUGACGCUGAGGCGCGAAAGCGUGGGGAGCAAACAGGAUUAGAUACCCCAGUAGUC